rnacentral:rRNA from 1 species
AGGGUGACAGCCCCGUACACAAAAGCGCAUGUGCUGUGAGCUCGAUGAGUAGGGCGGGACACGUGGUAUCCUGUCUGAAUAUGGGGGGACCAUCCUCCAAGGCUAAAUACUCCUGACUGACCGAUAGUGAACCAGUACCGUGAGGGAAAGGCGAAAAGAACCCCGGCGAGGGGAGUGAAAAAGAACCUGAAACCGUGUACGUACAAGCAGUGGGAGCACCCUUUGGGUGUGACUGCGUACCUUUUGUAUAAUGGGUCAGCGACUUAUAUUCUGUAGCAAGGUUAACCGAAUAGGGGAGCCGGAGGGAAACCGAGUCUUAACCGGGCGUUAAGUUGCAGGGUAUAGACCCGAAACCCGGUGAUCUAGCCAUGGGCAGGUUGAAGGUUGGGUAACACUAACUGGAGGACCGAACCGACUAAUGUUGAAAAAUUAGCGGAUGACCUGUGGCUGGGGGUGAAAGGCCAAUCAAACCGGGAGAUAGCUGGUUCUCCCCGAAAGCUAUUUAGGUAGCGCCUCGUGAAUUCAUCUCCGGGGGUAGAGCACUGUUUCGGCUAGGGGGCCAUCCCGGCUUACCAACCCGAUGCAAACUGCGAAUACCGGAGAAUGUUAUCACGGGAGACACACGGCGGGUGCUAACGUCCGUCGUGAAGAGGGAAACAACCCAGACCGCCAGCUAAGGUCCCAAAGUCAUGGUUAAGUGGGAAACGAUGUGGGAAGGCCCAGACAGCCAGGAUGUUGGCUUAGAAGCAGCCAUCAUUUAAAGAAAGCGUAAUAGCUCACUGGUCGAGUCGGCCUGCGCGGAAGAUGUAACGGGGCUAAACCAUGCACCGAAGCUGCGGCAGCGACACUGUGUGUUGUUGGGUAGGGGAGCGUUCUGUAAGCCUGUGAAGGUGUGUCGUGAGGCAUGCUGGAGGUAUCAGAAGUGCGAAUGCUGACAUAAGUAACGAUAAAGCGGGUGAAAAGCCCGCUCGCCGGAAGACCAAGGGUUCCUGUCCAACGUUAAUCGGGGCAGGGUGAGUCGACCCCUAAGGCGAGGCCGAAAGGCGUAGUCGAUGGGAAACGGGUUAAUAUUCCCGUACUUGGUGUUACUGCGAAGGGGGGACGGAGAAGGCUAUGUUGGCCGGGCGACGGUUGUCCCGGUUUAAGCGUGUAGGUGUGUGUUCCAGGUAAAUCCGGUUCACUUUAACACUGAGGCGUGACGACGAGGCACUACGGUGCUGAAGCAACAAAUGCCCUGCUUCCAGGAAAAGCCUCUAAGCAUCAGGUAACAUCAAAUCGUACCCCAAACCGACACAGGUGGUCAGGUAGAGAAUACCAAGGCGCUUGAGAGAACUCGGGUGAAGGAACUAGGCAAAAUGGUGCCGUAACUUCGGGAGAAGGCACGCUGACACGUAGGUGAAGUG